AGCUUAUGAUAAAUGGGACAAAACAAUUGCUAUGUAGGAAAUGUAAAUAAUUCAUGGUAAGAAAUGAUGUUCAAAAUUAGCAAAAUUUUAAACAGGAAAGAACGAAGAUAAGAAAUGUGUUGUUUUGUGAUCGCUUGAUUAAAGAACAGUUUAAUAGUCGGCUGUUUGCUCCAAUAACAAUUCUACAGCUCUCUGCACAUCGUUAGUUUGAGAUAAGGCCUGGAUAGCUUGAGCUCUAGAAGUUUGCAUAAUCGUUUGGACAGUGUUUAUAUCCUCUUCUCUAAUAUUUCCUAAUUCAGGACGUUCUGAUCGGCCGCUUAACAUAUCGUACAACUGAGAAGCCGGUCCUGUUGGGAGAACAGAAGAUGACGAGGUUCGACCAAGGGGAGGAUGUGAUAUUUGCUGACGAUUACGGAACGAUGCUGCAGUAUUGGAUGAAGAAGCGAUAGCUGUUGCUCGAGCGUUCUGUCGAGUCGGAGAAUCAUUAGCAUCCGCGUUCGAAACAGGAUUUUCUACUUGAUUCUCAUUUUCAGUACGCUCAGCAUCCAAACCUGUCGGCAGUGCAAAUAGAGUUUCGGGAUUAAAUGUGCUCGCAUUCUGCAUGUCAGAAUAGGGAGGACGAAUGAAAACAUGAGUUGGACUCAACGCAGGCUUAACAAAACGAAUUGGUAAACGCCAAGAGGUUCCUGGAAGUAAGGAUAAGUGAUAAAACAUACCCAUAGUCCAGCCCAGGAAAGCGUUGAUGAAAGUACUUGGGAAGUGUGAAAAGGCUAAACCAAUCAUGGGAAUUACCAUUUGAAAUUUAUCGGUAAAUUUGAUAUUGAAUAACCUAACAAAAACGGUAGAAGGAACAAUAUAGUAAUACUGAUAUAAAAUUGCAAAAAUGAGGAAAGUAGGACCAGGUUGUAUGUAGUCCAAGUUUUUGAAAAGCAAAGAAUAGAGAAAAGAGAAUAUUGGAGUCACAAACAUGCCUAAUAUAAACAUAUAUACACAAAAUGAAGCAAAUCUAUGACUUCCUAAUAGUCGUUCGACAUCACGAGCUUGAUAAAUUAUAAACAAAGCUUGAA